AUGUGUCCUCCACUGCCGCAGACCAGGCAAACAUGCAUUUAUUUAAUCGCCGAACGAGAAUUACCUCCAAGUCUCUCUCUGUUCUGCCAAGCCCUCAACACCCUCCUUAAGCCUUCCAGUGUCGGCGGCUCUACACCCUUUUCCACAGGAACACCAUUCCUCCGUUACUCUGAGGAUCACAAAGUAGCCUGGACUCCAUUUUCCGAGCAGAGCCCCUCAAACGAUCUUGAGAAGGGAGGUCCGGGCCUGGCAAGAACCACCACCAUUCCCCCCAUCCUACAGUCCAGGAAAUUGAGCCUCGGAAGGGAUUCGCCCGCAGCCAUGCCGACAACACGGGGAGGAGCCCUGCGGGGUGUCCAGGUUCCGAAAAGCCCUUCCCACGAGGCAGCGCCGAGGACUCAAGAUGCUUCAUCACCUUUAUUACUAUUGUUCUACAGUGUUCGCCCUGUACGCGCCCCAGACCUGGGGAAGCCGCCCGGCCCCUCGCCGCGUCCCCGCGCGCCCCAGACUCCUAACCCAGGCCGCGCCCCCGCGCGCCCCGCCCCCGGCCCCGCCCCCACCGCCCCGGCCUCACGCCGCGCCGCGGCCUCUGCUCCCGCCCCGCAAGGGCUCCCGCGCCCCGCGGGGGCCGCCCCCACUCGCCCCAGCCAAUCAGCAGAGCGCCGGGGGGCGGAGCCGCAGGCCCCAGCCCUCCUGUCCGGGCACCGAUUGGCCGGACCAGCCUUCGCUCACGAAGUCGCGCCCCGCACCCGCCUCCCUCCUUCUCCUCCACCCUCCCUUCAGGAAAAACGGCGGUUGGGCCGCGGCGGUCCCCAACGGCGGGCGGGAAGCGGCGGGGCGAGGAGCCGGGGAACUAGGGAAGGAGGGACUGCAGGGAGGAGGAGGAUGAAAGGGAGGAGGAGGGGAGCCCGGCCCAGCCGGAGCCAUCUCCAUCGCGAACAAAAUGGCGGCGCUGGCGGAGGGCCAACUGUGAGGCGGGGCCGCGGCCAUUCCCCCUCCGCCCCCACCCUCGCGCCGGCCGGGCCGGUCAGGGGGAGCCCGCUCGCUUCGCCCGGCCGCGGGCGGGGAGGGGAGGGGAGCGGCCCGGCCCACUAUGCAAAGCGUCCGGCGCCGCCGCCGCCGCCCCGUGGCAAAGGGCAGAGGGCCGCUCGGUCGUCUUCAAAGCCUGGGAACGCCGGGCGCCGUUAUUCGGAAGCCAGCCCGCGCCUCCUGGGGGACGUGCUCUCCCGGUGA
rnacentral:lncRNA from 1 species